rnacentral:snRNA from 1 species
AUACUUACCUGGCAGGGGAGAUACCACGAUCACGAAGGUGGUUUUCCCAGGGCGAGGCUUAUCCCUUGCACUCCGGGUGUGCUGACCCCUGCGAUUUCCCCAAAUGUGGGAAACUCGACUGCAUAAUUUGUGGUAGUGGGGGACGGCGUUCGCGCUUUCCCCUG